GAUGAACGCUGGCGGCGUGCCUAAUACAUGCAAGUCGAGCGAAUGGAUUGAGAGCUUGCUCUUAUGAAGUUAGCGGCGGACGGGUGAGUAACACGUGGGUAACCUGCCCAUAAGACUGGGAUAACUCCGGGAAACCGGGGCUAAUACCGGAUAACAUUUUGAACCGCAUGGUUCGAAAUUGAAAGGCGGCUUCGGCUGUCACUUAUGGAUGGACCCGCGUGGCAUUGGCUAGUUGGUGAGGUAACGGCUCACCAAGGCAACGAUGCGUAGCCGACCUGAGAGGGUGAUCGGCCACACUGGGACUGAGACACGGCCCAGACUCCUACGGGAGGCAGCAGUAGGGAAUCUUCCGCAAUGGACGAAAGUCUGACGGAGCAACGCCGCGUGAGUGAUGAAGGCUUUCGGGUCGUAAAACUCUGUUGUUAGGGAAGAACAAGUGCUAGUUGAAUAAGCUGGCACCUUGACGGUACCUAACCAGAAAGCCACGGCUAACUACGUGCCAGCAGCCGCCGUAA
rnacentral:rRNA from 1 species